rnacentral:rRNA from 2 species
CAAAACGACUCUCGGCAACGGAUAUCUCGGCUCUUGCAUCGAUGAAGAACGUAGCGAAAUGCGAUACGUGGUGUGAAUUGCAGAAUCCCGUGAACCAUCGAGUUUUUGAACGCAAGUUGCGCCCAAAGCCUUUUGGUUGAGGGCACGCCUGCCUGGG